CAAAAGCAAAAGAAAGAAGUGGGUGACGGCAAAAGAAGUGGGGGAAGAGAGGAUGAGAGAAAGCAGAGGGACAGCGGCGGAGAAAGACGCAGGAAGACGAGGAAGGACACCUGAUGCUAUGGUACAUGCAGUCCACAAUCUCUUGGAUCUGCGACAGCUCCAGGUUCUUCAUGAAGUCAUUGUCCAAGAUGGCUUCCUUGAUCAGAUCCUUGGACCUGGAGACAAGGUGAACAACGCAGGCCAGGUGCAGAGGAGUCAACCGUCAAGCGAGCGUCAGUCUGAUCCUCUCUGAUACGACAUGUCAAGAGACUGGAGUGAAGUCUGAGGCGAGACCAGAUCCUGAACAAAUGAAAAGAAGAUGUAUUUUUCCUGUCCAACCAGUGGGGUAAGUGUAUUGAUUCAUAAUGACACAGCCUUUAAGUUCAAACCCAACAGACAGCUGGAUUAUUUCACAACAGAGGGCUAUUUUAGUGCCGGUUUCAUUUGGAGAAGUAGAUCUGGUGUUGCAGACCAAGUUGAGCAGGGAGGGAGGUGUUUGUUUAAGAGUUUGAAAAGGAAGAGAGAGAUAGAGAGAGAGAGGGAGAGAGUAGCUUCAGACAAAUCAUAAGGUAAACAUGCACAGAGAGCCUGUUAAGACUGCCUGUCACAGAAUCAC